GAGCUGGACAUAAGCGGGUUUCUUAUUUGUAAUCACUGUUUUUGCCAACUCAAAUGACUAGCGUCGCUGACAGAUUUUACCUGUUAUAAUCAAGCUAACAUUCGAUCAAUUAAAUCUUUAUAAAACAAAAUUCUUUUAAAAGUAUUGAAUAUGCACUUGAUGGCUUAAUACAUUAAAUCGUCCUUAAAGACUGAGGCUAAUGUUGCAUGUCCCAGGCAAAAGUCAGCAUCCUGAUUAGUUGAUUGAUACAUGUGGAUGACGUGGAAAAAAAGGAACAGCAUUAUUUUUUUACCAGUGUGGAGCUGCAGUAGUUCUGGUGUUCAUCCCAGGUUCGAAGGGCAUGUAUAAAAGUACUGAGGCAGGCCAAACUUGUGAUGCUGUAAGAGAUAUUAAGCUGAAUCUCAUUGUGAUGCAGACCAUGAGAACUGUG